rnacentral:rRNA from 1 species
GUCCAGACUCCUACGGGAGGCAGCAGUGGGGAAUAUUGCACAAUGGGGGGAACCCUGAUGCAGCGACGCCGCGUGGGCGAGGAAGUAUUUCGGUAUGUAAAGCCCUAUCGGCAGGGAAGAAGAAAUGACGGUACCUGAAUAAGAAGCACCGGCUAAAUACGUGCCAGCAGCCGCGGUAAUACGUAUGGUGCAAGCGUUAUCCGGAUUUACUGGGCGUAAAGGGAGCGCAGGCGGCACGGCAAGUCUGGUGUGAAAGCCCGGGGCCCAACCCCGGGACUGCAUUGGAAACUGCCGGGCUGGAGUGCCGGAGGGGUAAGCGGAAUUCCUGGUGUAGCGGUGAAAUGCGCAGAUAUCAGGAAGAACACCGGUGGCGUAGGCGGCGUACUGGACGGCAACUGACGCUGAGGCUCGAAAGCGUGGGGAGCAAACAGGAUUAGAUACCCCGGUAUUG